AAAUUGAAGAGUUUGAUCAUGGCUCAGAUUGAACGCUGGCGGUAGGCCUAACACAUGCAAGUCGAGCGGUAGCACAGAGAGCUUGCUCUCGGGUGACGAGCGGCGGACGGGUGAGUAAUGUCUGGGAAACUGCCUGAUGGAGGGGGAUAACUACUGGAAACGGUAGCUAAUACCGCAUAA
rnacentral:rRNA from 1 species